GAAGACACUCAUAACUUUCUUAUUACGGUGCUGUUUGCUAUACGUGUUAAUAUGGUCAAAGGAAGACUACCCACCAAAGACUGUGGAAAUGACGUGAUCAUUUUAAACUGUGUUUGACUGCAAUUCAGCCUACAUAGUGCCACGAGACAAGGGUACACAAGAACUCCUUUGAAAUAACCAAAGCGGAGCUCAUAGGACUGUGAGAUUGAAGUCUAACUGAGACUGUUAAAAAACCCCAGAACAGUCCCUUAUGGCAAUUAAAAAAUUCCUGUAAGCAGGCAUUGCCAUGGUGGAAAACCACUGUAGCCCUUAUACUGGCCCCUGGAACAUCAUGGGACAACACAGCAAGGUUUCAAGAUACUUGGGCCUCUCAUUCAUAGACAAGAGUUUAAAAUUCCACAAUGAAGAGAAACAGAACCAGAGAGUGACUCCUCUCAGUCACUGGAAGCACACUCUGCAACAGUAACUAAAGAGAUGGCUGAAUAUUUCCAGAGUGCUGCUGUUCCAUUACUUCUGCCCUAUGAAUAUAUGCAUCUUUGAAGAAUGAAUAGAGAGUGCAGCUGUUUGGAGAACUUGACGUAUGUAAAAGGCUUUCUCCCUUAAGAAUAAGUAUUUCCUCUCAAGUUCAUCCUCAUUCAUCAAAGAAGGUCAAAUCUUUUAGCUAGGAGCAGUGAUAAGAGACAAAUGCAAAUGCUCACCUUUGUGGUACUCCCAAGGUAUAAUUGGAUUUUCCUUGUUCUAGCAAACCAGACCUAGAUAAAGUGCUCUCCCUUCAACCUUUUCCUCAUUUUUCCCAGCAAAAAAUAAUUAAUCCUAACAAUUAUAAUAUAAUUGAAUUGGAACCUUACUAAACUAAAUAACAGAAAAUUCAGAAAAAUUGUGUAUGAAUCUGUGCAUGGUUUUACUGAGUUUGGAAAAUAUUAACACUGCUAGCAGGGGAAAAUGCAAAUAAAAAACAGAUGAACAAGCUGUAACCUGGAGAUGAAGGCAUUUUAUAUCCUUGUCUGUCAUCAGGACCUUCAUAACCGCAUCUUUUUUCCAAUAUGGGCAUGUGGUAUACACCUGCAACUUGUCAGCAAGAAACCUACUUGCAGUUUUCUUUGGUUCCUCAAAUAACUUUUUGAAAAAAGCUGAUCCUAAAUAGUGUUAAUGAAUAUCUUGCAUACCAUAUCUACUGUCUGUUUUACAUACUUAUGGCUUUUACGCUGAGUGACAUUUAAAUGAUGCACCUAAUUGCUAGCUCUCAACUCAGUCUUUGGGAAUGGUAGACGUUACAAAAGACGCUUUAAAAAUUGCUGAGAUAAGAGACACAACUCAUCCUUAAACCUAACUCUCAAGCCCUGGCCUAAGUAAAGAUGACAUUUCUGAAAUUAAAAAGUAAUCCAAAACAUUUACCUACCUAAGGGAAAUGACUGCAGCAUACCCACAAAUUGUCUUGUGUUACAUGCAGAUUGUCAAAUCUAUUCAAAACUCUAAACAACCAGCUGCCAGCCAGCUCCAUGAAAAACCUUCUUGCAAAUUGCCUGAUACCAUCAAUUGCCUUGAUCUUUCUUUCAAAACCACCAUCUAUUUGAUAUCCUAGUUAUCAGUCACGGGGAGCUUAAAAUAAAAAUGCCUACACAGCCUUGUCUCCUAAUCACUAGACAUUCAUUAGAAAUAACUCGCCCCUUUUGCAAUGCAAUUAAUCCAUCUUCACAGUAUUCAGUGAAAAACGAAACAAAAUAUAGCGUAGCUAGUCUUGGCUAACAGCAGGGAAAACACGUUCAUAUUUGUCUGGUUGUCAGUAGUAGUUGAGCAUCUUUGUAUAAAUAAGUAUAUAUAUUUUAAAAUACAGGAGUAAGAAAGUAUAUUUGCAGGAAAGCAUAUACUAAACAAUUGUUCAUGGACAACUCAAGGUUUUCAGAGUUUCCUACCUCAGAGCCUAAAACACAGUCUUUACACUGAGAGAAUAGCAGAGAACAUUUCCUAUAUGCGAUGCAAAGACCCAAAUCAGUCCCAGAUGGAGAGGGAAAAAGCAAGCUGUAAACCAGCUCUACUUCCCCAGCAAUGAUAACUAAUUCUACAAGGCACUUCAUCCUUUCACAUUCUUCAGCUAUACAUAUCAUUUUCGGGUCGUAAAUCUCUAUCCACUAAACAUGGCUUUGAUAUUAUGGGAAACCAGAUGAAACUGAGAUAAAAUACGCAGCACUCCCUGAAGCUGCAUUUAAGCAAUCUUAUUUAUUUUUUUUUUUAGCCCAGAUUACAGGCAGUCAUGUUGUUGUAGCAUGGUAUAACCUACAUUUCCCUGUGAUAUUCACAUUUUCAGAUUGUUUAGUUUGAUGAAGAGCAUUGAAGAAGUAAGAUGUUUUCUCCUCAGUCAUUCCAAUUGUUUUGUAUUCUUUUAUAGAAGAUAGAUACUGAAAUGGUGCUGCUCUUUCUGAGCCAAGAUACCCACUCUAUCUACUGACCAAAGCUAACCUUUGCCAGCUGGGUUAGUGCAGCACACAAACAUAAAUCUUUUCUUUUUAACAGAGAGGGAAUAUGAAACUCCAUUCCUGUCCUUCCUAAAUUUACACUCAAAAGAGCAAAAGCACAUUACAGAACUAUAGAAAAUGAUGCAGAUGAUAGAAGGAAAAAACCGUUUUGUUUUUUCCAAUCCUUCCAGGACUACCACUAAGGCACUUAUUUCUGCAUUAAAUUCACAGUGAGGUUGAGGAAAGGAGUGACUGUCUAGCUUUCAUAUCCACCUAAUGCCAUUCCUUUAGUUUGCAGAGUGUACAGAAGUGAGGCUUAUUUUUAUCUUUGCCUUCCCUUUUGCCAGAGAUCUAAUAUAGCACCUUUUCUCAGCUAACUGGCAAUGAGGCUUUCUCAAUAGUUUUCCUGGAGUCAUUUACUCUCCUGCAAAUUUUAUGUGGUCACCCUGAACCACAGAGUUUCACCACAAGCUGAAAUAGCACAAGUUCUGGAACCAUUGUGCUGUGGAGUCAAUCAGCCCCAGUCUCUCUGUCUGGCACUACAAAACAUAAUGCAGAAGCACAAGGGAGGAAGACAGAUGCUGUGAUGUGCUGAAGGGUGAGUGAAUAGUCUGAUGGCAAGCGCUUUAUUGAGCUGUGGGAGAUAAGGGUUUGAAUUUCAGCUUGGCCUCUAGCAUAUAUUUGAAAACAGUAUUCCCAGCCAGCGCCCUUAGUCACCAGGCUCUCAUUUGCUCAUAUUAUGAGGUCUCAUUUGUUUUCAUGCUAAAGCUACUCCAAUAUGGUACUAUCAAGAUAUGUCAGAGAAAAGCAGGAAGAGCAAUUGGCAUUUUCACCUAAGCUGUGUCAUCACUUAUCCAGUACAAGUAGUCCUAAACAUUGCUGGCUUCAGAUCUACCUCCAACACUGUAAAGAAGUGAUACGGUAGAACAGAUUUCACUACAGGCUCACCCAGAAGCACCUCACUUUUUUUGUUGUUUUUUAAAUAUCGUGAAGUCCAAGUGCACAGUCAGUCCUGACAGAUGAUCAUGGCUACUACUGCUUCCAGCAGAAGAAGCAGCAAGGAGGUUAUUCAGUACUCUUUUUCUAUGGAUGCUGAGCAGCGCUCGAGAAUUCUCACAUAAGGAAGGGGCUACAAAGGGAAGUGGUGGAGUCACCACCCCUGGACGUAUUUUAGAGACAUGUGGUUAUGGUACAUAGCCUUGGUAGUGUUAGAUUGGACUUGAUGACCUUGAAGGUCUUUCACAACCUAAACGAUUCUAUGAACAAUAUGAAUGAUAAGAUAGCUGUGCUUACUGUACUGAACACCUGGUCAGCUUCUCUGUCUAACAGCCGUCAAGUGCUGGUUACUGAGAGCUGUGCUAAAGAACAGAAGAAAAGCCUGUACAGCUGGGAAGUAAGAGCACUGCAAAUCUACCACGUCAACCCUUCAUUGCAUACACAGUUGUCAAAGGGGUGGCAGCUAUUGCAAAGUAGAGACAGAGGGCACCAAGGAAGGGACGCACAGAUUAUCCUUGGAAUAGCCUUGAUUCCUAGGUAUCAGCAUAUUAGAAAUCAAAUUUAGGCAACUACACACAGGCUUGUACAUUCCUUAUGACCCUCUAGUUACUACUACCCCGUGCAAAU